AAUGUCCACCUCAAUAUAAAGCCACCUGAAAGGAUCCUGCUUUGGAUCCCCCUCUCUGCCUUCCAGGAGUGUGAAGCCUGUUUUGCUACUGUUGGACCUUUGAAAUUGUGUGCUCCUUUGUGUGUACUGGUUUUGUUUUUUGUUCUCCUGGGAGAGGGACUAGCUGAUGUGUGGUGAGCGUUCUGGUGCAGAAUGACUGCCGUGCAUCAUCCAGGUGGGUGCUACACGUUGAUGAUGGCUGAGGUGAGUUUCCCCCCGAUCACUGUAAAGCACUUUGAGCGUCUGGAAACAUGCUAUAUAAAUGCAAUGUUUCAUUCAUUCAUUUAUUUGUGGAUCAGCUGCAUUUAUUUGUGGAUCAGUUGCAUUAUAGUUGCACUUACAUUUGUGAACCAAGAAUUUUAUUUGCAAGUAAUGGAAAAUAUUUGAGUCAUUACAUUUGUGGAAUGUUCAUGGUGUUUAUUUUUGAGACAAUAAUGCCCCUAUACAAAUGGCUUAUUUCCCUAAGGUGAGGGAGAUCAAGCCUUUUAGUAACUAUGGUUACAUAUCAACACUCAUGUAGCUACAUUAGACUACAUAUUUUAGAUGCAAAGCAGCAAAGAUAAUGCAUGUGUUUCAGCCCUCGGUGUACAUUUUCUUUUCUGCUGUUUCUUCGCAAUUAAAGACUGUCUAAUUAUAUAGAUUGAGACACGCUCAUAUUUGUCUGUCUCUAUUUAUUCUGUAUGUCAGUGAUUACUAAACCCCCUUGAUCUAGUUUAGCUUUGGCAAAAUAGGCUUAUCAAAUUUGAAAAAAGGAGAAAAUGAUUAUAACAGAAGGAAAAGGAAACCCAACCGUACAGACGAUGAGUGUUAUUCUUUUUGGAGUACAGCAAAUGGAAAAAAAAAUACUCUGCAAAGUAAAUUCAACCCAGCCAUCAACCUACAUAGAAAUGUCAAGAAAUAAUCAAUAAAAUCAAUGCAAGAAAUCUUGUGGUAAAACACUAGGUGUACAAGAUUAUAAAAAUAUGAAAAUAUUUGAAGAACAUAUAUGUUAAAUAUUACAGAAUUGUUACAUAUUACAUACCUGCCAUAGGGUGGCAUGGUGGUGCAAUGGGUAGCACUGUCUCCUCACAGCAAGAAGAGUUUGCAUGUUCCUUCGGUGUUUGCAUUUCCUCCCACAGUCCAAAGUCAUGCCGGUAGGCUAACCGGAGACUCUAAAUUGCCCAUGGGUAUAAGUGUGAGUGAAUGAUGUGUGUGCUCUGUGAUAGAUUGGCAACCUGUCCUGGAUGAAUUCCUGCCUCUUGCUCAAUGCACGCUGAGAGGCUCCAGCAUCCUAUGCGACCAUGGCCAGGAUAAGCGGGUAUUGAUAAUUGAUGGAUGGAUACCUGCCAUCCCUCUAAGUUAUGCCUAGGCAGGGUGGUAUGCCCCAAACCUAUACAGCACAUAGAGCUUUGCACUUUUCAGGGUUUCCUACAGAAAUAAACACAAUGUCCGCAGGCACUCUGCCCUUGAAAACAUUCAUUUCAUUACCUUCUGACCUCAUGUCAACAGACAGAAUUCACAAACAACUUAACACGUCCACACAAUAAAGCACCAAACUUGGAAGAAUUUGAGUUUUUUCUUUCUUUGUUUUCCCCUGCCAAUUACGUCAUCACAAAUGCUCCAGGCCUACAAAGAAUACAUCCGCCCAUUGGAAAUUGAGCUACAUCAGCCAAUAAAAACAUAGGAUACACAUGCAAAAUGAACACAUACAGAAAUGUUUAAAAAAAUAUAUGAAUAAUAAUUUAAAAAACAAAACUUUGCAGCCACUGUGGCUUCAUCUUUUUAAAGUAAGAAGGGUGAAAUUGACCAUUAUGCUGUUUCUACAGUUAAUUACGUUUUGGCUGCUGUAGCUACUUGGGGUGGAGGUAGAUGCCACUAUUUGUAUUUGCAUAAAGUUGGAAUGACCACAUUCUCUUCUGAUGGUAAGAUGGGUAAAAACACAGGGCCAAGUUAUUUUAACUAAUUUAGGAAACAUUUGGUAGCACUGCUUUGGAAUACGGCUUGUGUUAAUUUGUGUGAAGCUAACCAAUAUUGUUUUUUAUAACUCGGGCUAAUUUUUAUAUCAGUACUUUUAAUGGCAGGCCUACAUUUAGCAAGUUGGCUUCACCAUUGUAUAUUUCAUCCUGCAUAUCAUUCAAUGUGUAAUAACAUUGUAAAGUUGUAAUGUUGUAACACUGAGCUACUGUACAUUAACAUUAAACUUGACAGCAGUCUCAAACUCCAGACUUUACACCCAAAUAGAGAAUGGCUUUGAUUCCUCAUGUCAAAGCUUGAAAGCCAUUUAACUAUAGCUAGCUACUGAUAGGCCUCUACUAAUCCAUCAUGCAUCUGUUCUGUCACAACUGGGAGUGUGGCUAGCAGCAGGUGAAGGAGGGAAGGCACUGAACCAUUAACCAGUGUUAGCAUUUUAGUAAAGCCACUUAAAGUUGGUGAGGUCCUCCUUGUGAAAAUGGACUCUACAAAUAUUAACUUUUGGGGUUAUUGCAAUAUCACAGUGCCCAUGGGCCUCCAGAAAUGAAAACCAUUUCUUGUGGGACUCUUCAUUGUUUAGAAACCAAAGAAGUGUAUUGGUUUUUCUUCAUCCAGCGAAAGCCCAACACUUAAGCAUUUCCAACUUAGUUUGCCUGCACAAAAGUGGAAAGCGCAUACAAGUACAAAGAAUUUCACUGGUAUUUUAGUGACGUACAUUGUGCCUAGCAAACCCCGGCACCUGAAAACCUGGUGUUUAGCUAAGGGGCAAAGCAAGCCAAUCUCGGCACUGGCUUUUCUGUUUUUUUUUUUCCCCCAAAAAAAUAUUUUGAAGCCAUCUGUGAAUGCAAAAGAAGUAUUAAAGUGUUGUUUUAUUGAAAAUAAAACAACUGCUUCCAGUUGUAUAUAAAACAGUGUGAAAUAGUAAUAUAUUUUACUUUUUUUCAUAUUGUCAUAAAUAUUAUUAUAGCCCACUCCAACUUUGAGGGAGAUUUGUGACCUCUUCUGGGUAUCGGGGAGCUAAUGCCAAAAUCUUCGACUCACAGAGCUACCGGGAGAGGUGAGAUGCGUGCAGUGAUGGACUUAAUCUUCUAAAGUUAAACAAACUGAAAAUCUGUGUGUGUGUAAUGCUUUGAGAUGAAUAAUAUCAUUUAUUCUGUGGAUAAAUGAUAGCUGUGAGCAUUUAAUCCUUUAAUUUCAAAACCAAUUAAACGCCACAGUGCUUCUGUGGGUAUCCUAAUCAUUAUCAGGGUUCCAAACACUCUUAGAGCACAGUUUGUUGGCACUCAAUUACUUUUCUGUUUUCCUCUAUGAUUCAUCAACAUGAAGCGGUUGACUAAAAAUGUACAUUCCAUCAAGUCAACCAUCCACUGCAGACUGUGAUGAGCCAACUUCCUGGGAGUGCUAAAAUCUUGUAACAAGUUUCUGAGUAACCAUAAAAAUGAUUUUAAAAACACAAAAAAUCUGCACUUUAACCACAUUGAUUACAAAUCUAAAUUUGUAGAGUAUAAAGCCCGA